GACUUUUUGGGCAUUUAAGUUUCAAUUUCCUGCCCUAUUUGCUGCCUUCAAUUUGUUUCGUUACUUCACGAUUUGCAAUAGGGGGCUGACUCGAGGGAAACUGUUGGAUUUGAUCCAACGAGACAAUGUGAGGAGGCAAGGGAGUCCCAAAUCAAACUCGGUACAAAGAGGUUCAUGCAAGGAAAUAAAACGAUAAGAAUUAGAAUGGUAAUUUGAACAAAUCAAAAUCAUUCAUGGCUAAUGAUAAGAGACACCUUAUCAGAAGCAUCUAAUAAGCUAUAAAAAAAAUUGAAUUACUACAUUAAGUUUAAGCAUCCACAAGCACCAAGUCAAGCAUUUGUCAACGUAGAU
rnacentral:lncRNA from 1 species